AAGGUACUCCCUCCAUUCGGAAUUACUUGUCUCGGAAAUGGAUGUAUCUAAAACUAAAAUACGUCUAGAUACAUCCAUUUCUGCGACAAGUAAUUCCGAACGGAGGGAGUACAAA
rnacentral:pre_miRNA from 1 species